CUGUGAACGGUUCCGUUCCGACUUUGGAUUCUUUCCGGUUUCCGAGGUCUUCCUGUUCAUCGGUCACUUCAUCAGGCGAAACCAUGAGGAGAGGGUGUCCGAGAUUUCAGUUCCACGACGUAGCUGACCUAUCAAGAAAAUCAUCAACCAUGAGGGGAAUUAGCUGCACGUUUCGGAAGACUGGGAAAAAUGAACGAAUUCGUAGGGCUGUACAUUUACAACCAAAAAGAAAAAUGAUGACUUAAUACAGGAGGAGAAUUCAACAGAUGGAAGAAAAACUUGCCCCCUUGUGCAAAUGUUUGAAACAUCAAGGUUAACUACAAUCCUGGAUCAGUAACUACAAAAAUGGUUGUUUUCAGCCUAUAGUGGAUUAUCAUGGAUCCAAUUGGAACUGGCGCUGGUAAUGGCAGCACACACGAGGUGAAGUUGAGAACCAUUUAAAUGCAGUUGGAACGGAGUGGCAUUGUCAUCAUUUAUAAUAAUGAGGACUACCUCAAGCUGCUUAGAGUUACAGUAUUUUCGAAAUGGAGGAUCAUUUAACCUGAUAGACAAGACCCCCAGAUAAAGCUUGUCCCAACGAGAGACAAUUCUUUCGAGUGCGUCUUGAUUUGCAGUUUUUGAGGUAAUUAACAAAAACUCAACUGUCUGAUCAGACUGUCCCCGGACAUACGGAUUGUGUAAUCAAUUGUAAUGUAUUACUUUACGAAUUAAAAAAAAAUAUGUACAUGUA